rnacentral:rRNA from 1 species
AGCUCCAAUAGCGUAUAUUAAAGUUGUUGCAGUUAAAAAGCUCGUAGUUGGAUUUCUGAAUCGAAUGUCCGGUCCGCUUGCUAAGCAAGUGUGUACAGGUGAUAUUUGUUUCAUUUUUUGUGAGGAAAUUUAUCUGUCAUUAAGUUGAUGGGUUUAUGGACUUGCAUCGUUUACUGUGAAAAAAUUAGAGUGUUUAAAGCAGGCGUUUGCCUUGAAUACAUUAGCAUGGAAUAAUAAGAUACGACUUUGGUGGUCUAUUUUGUUGGUUUGCACACCAGAGUAAUGAUUAAUAGGGACAGUUGGGGGUAUUCAUAUUUCAGCGUCAGAGGUGAAAUUCUUAGAUCGCUGAAAGAUGAGCUUAGGCGAAAGCAUUUACCAAGGAUGUUUUCAUUAAUCAAGA